CACGUAGGGUGCGAGCGUUGUCCGGAAUUAUUGGGCGUAAAGAGCUCGUAGGCGGUGUGUCGCGUCGGCCGUGAAAACUUGGGGCUUAACCCUGAGCUUGCGGUCGAUACGGGCAUGACUGGAGUUCGGCAGGGGAGACUGGAAUUCCUGGUGUAGCGGUGAAAUGCGCAGAUAUCAGGAGGAACACCGAUGGCGAAGGCAGGUCUCUGGGCCACUACUGACGCUGAGAAGCGAAAGUGUGGGGAGCGAACAGG
rnacentral:rRNA from 1 species